UGCUGUGUGUGCACUGCUGUUCUAGC
rnacentral:piRNA from 1 species